rnacentral:rRNA from 1 species
UAGGUGGGAGGCUUUGAAGUGUGGACGCCAGUCUGCAUGGAGCCGACCUUGAAAUACCACCCUUUAAUGUUUGAUGUUCUAACGUGGACCCGUAAUCCGGGUUGCGGACAGUGUCUGGUGGGUAGUUUGACUGGGGCGGUCUCCUCCUAAAGAGUAACGGAGGAGCACGAAGGUUGGCUAAUCCUGGUCGGACAUCAGGAGGUUAGUGCAAUGGCAUAAGCCAGCUUGACUGCGAGCGUGACGGCGCGAGCAGGUGCGAAAGCAGGUCAUAGUGAUCCGGUGGUUCUGAAUGGAAGGGCCAUCGCUCAACGGAUAAAAGGUACUCCGGGGAUAACAGGCUGAUACCGCCCAAGAGUUCAUAUCGACGGCGGUGUUUGGCACCUCGAUGUCGGCUCAUCACAUCCUGGGGCUGAAGUAGGUCCCAAGGGUAUGGCUGUUCGCCAUUUAAAGUGGUACGCGAGCUGGGUUUAGAACGUCGUGAGACAGUUCGGUCCCUAUCUGCCGUGGGCGCUGGAGAACUGAGGGGGGCUGCUCCUAGUACGAGAGGACCGGAGUGGACGCAUCACUGGUGUUCGGGUUGUCAUGCCAAUGGCACUGCCCGGUAGCUAAAUGCGGAAGAGAUAAGUGCUGAAAGCAUCUAAGCACGAAACUUGCCCCGAGAUGAGUUCUCCCUGACUCCUUGAGAGUCCUGAAGGAACGUUGAAGACGACGACGUUGAUAGGCCGGGUGUGUAAGCGCAGCGAUGCGUUGAGCUAACCGG